rnacentral:rRNA from 1 species
GGAGGAAAGCAGGGGAUCGCAAGACCUUGCGCUCUUGGAGCGGCCGAUGCCUGAUUAGCUAGUUGGUGAGGUAAAGGCUUACCAAGGCGACGAUCAGUAGCUGGUCUGAGAGGACGACCAGCCACACUGGGACUGAGACACGGCCCAGACUCCUACGGGAGGCAGCAGUGGGGAAUUUUGGACAAUGGGGGAAACCCUGAUCCAGCCAUGCCGCGUGAGUGAAGAAGGCCUUCAGGUUGUAAAGCUCUUUCAGCCGGAACGAAACGGUCACGGCUAAUACCUGUGACUACUGACGGUACCGGAAGAAGAAGCACCGGCUAACUACGUGCCAGCAGCCGCGGUAAUACGUAGGGUGCAAGCGUUAAUCGGAAUUACUGGGCGUAAAGCGUGCGCAGGCGGUUUUGUAAGUCAGAUGUGAAAUCCCCGGGCUUAACCUGGGAACUGCGUUUGAAACUACAAAGCUAG